CCUACGGGAGGCAGCAGUGAGGAAUAUUGGUCAAUGGACGCAAGGCUGAACCAGCCAUGCCGCGUGCAGGAUGACUGCUCUAUGAGUUGUAAACUGCUUUUGUACGAGGGUAAACCCCGAUACGUGUAUCGGGUUGAAAGUAUCUUACGCAUAAGGAUCGGCUAACUCCGUGCCCGCAGCCGCGGUAAUACGGAGGAUCCGCGCGUUAUCCGGAUUUAUUGGGGUUAAAGGGUGCGUAGGCGGUUUGAUAAGUUAGAGGGGAAAUGUCGGGGCUCAACCCCGAAACUGCCUCUAAUACUGUUGGACUAGAGAAUAGUUGCGGUAGGCGGAAGGUAUGGUGUAGCGGUGAAAUGCUUAGAGAUCAUACAGAACACCGAUUGCGAAGGCAGCUUACCAAACUAUAUCUGACGUUGAGGCACGAAAGCGUGGGUAGCAAACAGGAUUAGAUACCCGUGUAGUC
rnacentral:rRNA from 1 species